rnacentral:rRNA from 1 species
GACGAACGCUGGCGGCGUGCUUAACACAUGCAAGUCGAGCGGUAAGGCCCUUUCGGGGGUACACGAGCGGCGAACGGGUGAGUAACACGUGGGUGACCUGCCCUCAGCUCUGGGAUAAGCCUGGGAAACCGGGUCUAAUACCGGAUAUGACUCCAUGACGCAUGUUGUGGGUGGAAAGCCUUGUGCGGCUGAGGAUGGGCCCGCGGCCUAUCAGCUUGUUGGUGGGGUGAUGGCCUACCAAGGCGA